GUUGCCCUGCCGUGCGCGUGAUUCGUCGAGGAAGUUUUGAGCCGACACUCACAACUUUAGGGGGCCUUCUGAUAUAUUGGGUUGUACGUCGAGUCUCCGAGCAAUCGGAAGUUCACCAUGCGCCCAUCGGGGUCACCCGCCCUAGUAAUAUAGGGGUCAAAACUCGGUAGACACACGGCAUUAGCGGGGCGGCA
rnacentral:other from 1 species